GACAGGUCCUACCAAGGAAUUGGUUCCUUGAAUUGAAUUGGUUCCUCGACAUUGAGGAACACCCCCCGUGUCUUAAUUCAGAGACUGCAUUAUUCGGAGGACGCAGCCUACGCGGUCCACGAAGGAUGCAGACCGAGCGGCCUAGGAAAUGAGACGGUCCAGCCUACGGAGCACUGCCUGUUUACGUCACAUGAUACGCGCUGUUCUGUUGCGCUGCUCCAGCAGCCUGAUAGCAUAUGAGCUAACAAGCUAACUCAGCUGAAAAUGAUCCAGAAACUUUACUUUUUUACUUUAACCAUUUUUUGGAGAUCACCGUCGGCGAUGAAAUAAAGAUAACCAUGGCCAGCCCAGAUGAUGUCCUACUGACCCCAGGUCAGCACCUCCAGGUCCAGCAGCUCUGUGACCCCCCGCUCUGCUGAAAUACACAAUUAAACAUUUUCUAUAGCCUAUUUUUUGUAUAAAUAUAUUUAAACAGAAUUUAAGACAGUUUAAUGACCUAGAGAUAUCCUAUUAUUCCACUGCUUAUGUACACAUGUUGUAAAUAAUGGUUAAAACCUCAGUAAAUUAAAUAAACAAUGUGUUUUACUAUUUGAA